rnacentral:rRNA from 1 species
UACGAAGGGGGCUAGCGUUGCUCGGAAUGACUGGGCGUAAAGGGUGCGUAGGAGGGCAGGUAAGUCAGUGGUGAAAUCUCCGGGCUUAACUCGGAAACUGCCGUUGAUACUAUCUGUCUUGAAUACCGUGGAGAUGAGCGGAAUAUGUCAUGUAGCGGUGAAAUGCUUAGAUAUCGUAAGGAAGACCAGUGGCGAAGGCGGGUCUCUGGACAGUUCCUGACGCUGAGGCACGAAGGCCAGGGGAGCAAACGGG